rnacentral:rRNA from 1 species
UGGGGAAUAUUGCACAAUGGGCGCAAGCCUGAUGCAGCCAUGCCGCGUGUAUGAAGAAGGCCUUCGGGUUGUAAAGUACUUUCAGCGGGGAGGAAGGCGAUAAGGUUAAUAACCUUGUCGAUUGACGUUACCCGCAGAAGAAGCACCGGCAAACUCCGUGCCAGCAGCCGCGGUAAUACGGAGGGUGCAGGCGUUAAUCGGCAUUACUGGGCGUAAAGCGCACGCAGGCGGUCUGUCAAGUCGGAUGUGAAAUCCCCGGGCUCAACCUGGGAACUGCAUUCGAAACUGGCAGGCUAGAGUCUUGUAGAGGGGGGUAGAAUUCCAGGUGUAGCGGUGAAAUGCGUAGAGAUCUGGAGGAAUACCGGUGGCGAAGGCGGCCCCCUGGACAAAGACUGACGCUCAGGUGCGAAAGCGUGGGGAGCAAACA